AUUGAACGCUGGCGGCAGCCCUAACACAUGCAAGUCGAACGAGUGGCGGACGGGUGAGUAAUGUCUGGGAAACUGCCUGAUGGAGGGGGAUAACUACUGGAAACGGUCGCUAAUACCGCAUACCAUCAGAUGUGCCCAGAUGGGAUUAGCUUGUUGGUGGGGUAACGGCUCCCCAAGGCGACGAUCCCUAGCUGGUCUGAGCGGAUGACGAGCCACAGUGGAACUGAGACAAGGUCCAGACGAAGACGGGAGGCAGCAGUGGGGAAUAUUGCACAAUGGGCGGAAGCCUGAUGCAGCCAUGCGGCGUGUAUGAAGAAGGCCUUCGGGUUGUAAAGUACUUUCAGCGGGGAGGCGUUACCCGCAGAAGAAGCACCGGCUAACUCCGUGCCAGCAGCCGCGGUAAUUC
rnacentral:rRNA from 1 species